UAGUGCUCGACGGCCAUUUUCUGUUAUUCCCUCCAAAAGUAGAAUAAAUUCUCCCCAAAUUGCAAUAUUUAUUAAUAUUUCACUGAGUGUACAGAAUUAUUACACUUAUAUUUAUUCGAGGGUUCACACAGUAGGGGGGUCUGUGGAGUGUUAUGUAGUGUGCGGACGAUGAAAUCCCUCUGUGCUUCUUAAGCAUCUAACAACAAAAUCUAAGUGAAAAAUUAUUUAUAAUCGGUUUUUAUGAGUUGAAGGUUAAUUUUCGAAUAAAAAUAGAUGUGGACAAUUUAAAAAAAUGAAUAAAUUAUUGGAGAAAUUGAGGGUCCGAGAUCUGAAUCCACCAAAGGCGAGGCCUGCGAUGCUUUCGCGACCUAGAAACUCAAAAGCACUCCUGAGCAGUUCGAAAGUGCUCUGACGGCGAUCAGAACAGGAAGAUGUUUGGGAUCAGUCAGCGAAGAAUAUAAUAUCCCUAAGUCAACCUUAUACGACAAAGCAAAUGACAAGACAAAAAGCUGGGAUCAACAGACCUGGCCCUAAGUGUAUUAUGGGAGAAUUUUAUGAGAAGAAACUGGUAGAAUGGAUUUGUUAAAUGGCUGAUAGGGGGUUUGCCGUCACUAAGGAUUAAUUGCAGAAUUCCGUUCACAAACUGAUGAAAUCUCUGGGCUCAAUUACACUUAAUUCAUAAUAGUAAUGGUUAUUCAUGGUUAUCAUUUAGUGUGUAAUAAGUUUAUGGCUAUUGGAAUGAGAAUAGAUCUGUCAAAAAUA